UGUAUGCAUGUAUGCAUUACCCUUCGACUCAGCAAUUCCACUCCUAUAAGUGGAAUUAUGUAAGUAUGAAAACAUGCCCCUGACUCUGUGGGCAGAGCAGAGGUUUGGAAACCAAAUUUCUGAAAUAGAACAUCCUUUCAUGUCUCUGUUCCCAGUGCCUGGACUAGUGCUUCCAUAUGUGGAUAUGUUAUCGAAGAUACACACGCAUAAGUAUGGAAAAAUUUUACAUACAUAGAUAUGUGCAGACAUACAAUUGUAUGUGUGUGUUUUGUGUGUGAGAGAAAGAGACAUGCCUUUAGCCUGAACAAUGUCACUCCUGUAAAUUGCUACAGAUUGCUUAUAUAAGGAUGAAAAAAUGGUUCUUUAUAGCAUCAUAUGUAGUAGCAAAAGGGGAAAAAAUGGAGAUAAUUUACAUGUUUGUCAAUAGGAGACUGGUUUUUAAAAAUUGGAGUUCAUCCAUAAAAUAUAAAACUAUGCAGUUAUACAAAAAAUUAAACACAUCUGUAUGUCCUAAUGCAAGUUGUCAAAGAUGUACUACCAAGGGAAACAAGUUGCAGAAUAGCAUAAUCCUUUUUGUUUUCUCAAUGUGUGUGUUGGGGUAGGGGCGUUUACAAUUACAUAUACCUAUAUUUAUGGAAAUUUUAAAAUUAAAAAAAUAGUGGUUACUCCUGGAUAGUGACAAUAAUGGGUAGGGAGUUUUCAGGAGAUUUUUCUGUAAUUCUGUUUAUUUUCUGUACUAUUUGAAAGUUUACCAUGCAUAUGAAUUUUAAAGUAAGAACUACAGAAAUUUUGGGCUCCAAAUCUAGAGAUUCUAAUUUUGUAGUCCUGAAUUUGGUCAGUGAAUUCAAUAUUUAGAACAGGAGUGAUUGAGAGUCAGGGUUGAGAACCACUUCCUUAUAUGCUGGUCACAAAUGACUGGUGGGGACAGCACCAUCAUUGUAUAGAUAUAGUAAAUGCCUGUAGGAGAAUGUAAAAUGAAAUGUCAUGUAAUUUUUCCCUGGAAAGGGGAUGACAUUAUAUUCUUCCAUUUAAAGACUCAGACAUGGAAAACAGAUUGUGGUUGCCAAGGGAGAGGGGGAAGGGAGAGAGAUGUUUGGGGAGUUUGGGGUUAAUAGAUGCAAAAUAUUACACUUAGAAUAGAUAGACAGUAAGGUCCUACAGUGUAGCACAGGAAACUAGAGCCAAUCUCCUGGGAUAGACCAUAAUGAAAGUGGAAUUCUCAGAGGGACCCAGUUUUCAGCUAAGGUAAAGGGGUGAAAACCUUUGUGAAGGAAUAAGAAAGUAGAAGUUUAUUUAAAAUGAAAUGGAGACACAGAGGUCACACAAGAAGAGUUUCAAAGAAAGUAGCACCAACCCUGUCAUAAUAUAAAGUAUACUUAGGAGAAGAUAGACAAAGAUUAUUCAUUUUGGGAGGAGGCCAAAUUUGAAAGGGAAAUGAAGCAUGGUUCAAUUACUGUUAUUGGUCUUAAAGUUUUCACUUUUACUCUGUUGUAAAAUAUUUUAUAUACCAGCAUUGACUCUAUAGAUCUAUUGGAGGUCUAAUGUCAGGGGCUUCUAAAUGGGUAGGGGAUUAGAUGUUUGGGGUUCCUUUGUAAACUUCCAAUAAAAUGUAGAUGUCUGUAAGUUAGCAUGAGAUGAUCUCUCAUAGUUCCCCUCUCCCCAAAAAUUCUUUGGUUUAUAUUGAUUUCAAACUUCAAAUUAGAAAAUCGGAAUUGGGUGCUUAGUUAUGACAUAUAUGUUGAUUAAUUUUACUAUGCUCAAUAUGUAAUCCAUGCCAGUUACAUAUUAUUUCAUUAGCAGCACUGGCUGCAAAAUUUCCUUUAUUAUGUAAUUAAUAAAGGAAUGAUAUUAAAGUUAUCAUGUCUAUAAAGUAUUCUCUUUCUUUAUGCAAGGAAUGAUAUUAAAGUCUGAGUGAGGAAUUCAAGAGGCCAAAAGGGACUCCUACCAUUUGUAAAGGCUGAUUUUAAGAAAAGUAUUACAGAAAAUUGAGACAGUAGGAAAUAAGCAGAUUCCCAUUAUUUUAGGCCUGGAAAUAUUUCACAAAUACCACCAGCAUGUAGACGGUAAACUGUCUUGGUUUGAUUUGAUUAAUUCCAUUGAACUAUUGUUUUGUCUUCCACAAAACACCAUGCUUCUCCUUCUAUUCUUGUUGCUUUCUUCUUUUUUAAAAAUUAUUAUAGUUGAUUUACAAUGUUUUGACAAUUUCUGUUUUAUAGCAAAGUUGCUUUCUUUUCAUCUCAUUCUCUGCUUUCCUGAAAUGGCUGACUUGUAUAUAUUUAGGUGGUACAGAGCUCUUUCCUGACCAGCUGGUUCCUACUAUCACCCAGGCAACAUUUAGGGACCUAAAAUUUCACAGAAUUCAAUAGAAACAAACCAGAAAGUACAGACCUUUUGAAAUGGGUCUGUAGAAUCCACAAUAGCUAUUUACAGAGUUAUUCAUCUUAUAAUGACUUUUCUACAUAUUUUAGCAUUCUCAUGCCUUUGCAAGUUCUCUUCCAUCUACUAUCCCCAACUGGUUCUGUUUCCUAUGCAAGCCUCAUUUAGGUCAGAACCAUACGUUAUAUGCUUACUUAAAAAACAUUUCUUUCAGAGGAUUUAUUUUAGUUUGUAAUUACCUACUUCAGUAUUAUUUUAAUAAAUUCAUUGGGUCUACUCAUUUCUCUCACUUAAAGAAGUGUAUUCUUUUAGUAGCUCUGAGUGACAUGAGAGAAAUGCAAAAUGCAAUGGAAAAAAAUCAGAGGAAAGAUGAAGUAAGAAAGAACUUUAAACUAUUUUGCAAAGCAUCUUUUCUGUGCUAGUUAUAACAAACUUGUCGGUAAUUUUUCAACUAACUGGGCUACAGAAUCCCUUCUCCCCAUUCCAUAAAGUAGCUUUUCUUGGCUCAGACCAUGACAAAAUCACUACCAAGAAAAUAUAAGACCCCCUUACAAGUCAUGUGUGUAAUGAAUUUAUAAAGGGAUAAAACUUUAGUGAUAGGAGGGAGCUUAAAAAUAAUCUAGACCAAUUCCCAUCUUUUAUAGAUGAGGAAAUUGAAGCUAAUCAAUGUCACAUAACUUAGGUCAUAUAUUGAAUUAGCUGAAGAGCCAAUACCAGAACCCAGGUCUUCUACCUUUUAAUUAAGUCUUAAUUUCUCCUUCCUCAUUCUUUCUUCCCUGGGAUUAAAAAUACAACAGGAGAAGAUAUUGGAAGUAUUGUGAUUCAACUUGCUGCUCCUUCAAGUAAUUUUUAAAAUUAAAAUGUUCUUAUUUUCCUAUGUGUGUUCUCUUCACUCCACCUCCUGUCUUAAUUUUUAGCUUGGUAAUUGAACUCUGUGAAAUUACACCAGACUAAAAUUAAUCCUUCAAGUUUUCACAAGAUAAUGAAAUAGUUUGCUAAUAGUGAAAACCUAGUGAUCAUGUUAGAUUUUGGUUAGCAGCUGACAUCAACAUGAAAGUAGACCUUAUAUACUGUAGAUGACACCAGCUUUUGCAUGUUUCAGAAGGUAAUCCACAAGAGUGCUUCCAAGAUGAUUUUUAUCAUUUUUGCAUUUUUGGGGGGGGGGUUUAGAGUGGCAAAAAUUAUACCUUAUAAAAAUAAUCAUCCUCUGGCAAAGCAUAAAAGGAAAACAAGCAUAUCUUUUGUUUUUUGAAACUGAGAGAUAAUUACAGAGGUGGUUAAAAAAAAUCCCUAUUGGCUAUUGCUUAUUAACAUACAUGUUGUUUGUUUUUAACAUUUCCCAUAAAGGAAGGGUAAUAUAGAAUCUCAGCAUAAGUGUAAGUUAAAUUGGUUUUAUUUAUUUGCUGAUGGUCAGUUACCUAGCUUUAUAAAAUGAACUAAUUUGGUCCUGGACACCACAUUCCUAUUGUUUUUGUCAUAAUGCAGAAAUAAAAUAUCAUAAACGCAUUCCUAUGAACACAACUUCCUGGAGCUGCAUGAAUCUUGAGCUCUCUGUUUGAGCCUAUUUAAUUUCUUAUAUCUGAAAUUACUAACUUUAGCCAUUAGAACACAGAACAUUUUAAAUGGAUUACACUUUCAUAGUAAAUCAUCCUUGUUUUCUCAUCCAUUCUCUCAGCUGAAAAAGAAAAUAUGAAAGUGAGGCCAAAUGAAUAUAUUAUUGAAUUCUGAGUUUAUCUCACUUCCAGAUCUUGCAAUGAUCAGGUUGUAAGAUUUCUACAAACCUUGGUAAUAUUUUAGACUUAUAUACAGAAAUUAAUAUGUAUGUAUUUCUUGUAUUUGUACAAUGGAGCCAGAAGCAGGACUCAUGUAUAUAGAACUAUAUUUAUUUGCAUGUGUACUUCAAAGUGAAAUCUUUAACAAAUUUAACAGUAUAUAUACUUGUGCUGCUGAUAAAACACACCAGUCAAACCUGCCUACCAGGUGGAUUUGAAAUCUGAAUUUACUUUUACAUGCACACAUAAAUUACUAUUUCAGUGUAACCAGGUGCUAUUUAACUUCCAAUAAUGUAUAAUGUAGUUAUAUAUGUAUAUAUGUUUAAUGAUAAUGUAAUGUCCUAGUAUGUAUGUAUACACACACACACACACACACGUAUAAUUCAGUCCCUGACUGGCCUGGAAACUUCCAUUUGCCAAGGGCAUGGCCAUAAAGAAAAAAAUGAAAGCAGUGAAGAAUGACUCAUUACAAUGCUGUAAUGAAUCAAGCAACACUGGAAAUUAAAUUUCCAAACAGUGUGCCUUUAGUUUUUCCAGCAAAUAUUAUGAUAUUCAAUGAACCAUCAUAUUUUUUCAACAGUUUUAUAUUCAAUUUACUCUUUCAGCAACUCUUUGGAAAUAUCACAAGAUAAUUUACAGGAUAAAACAAAUCUUUGCAGUUAACAGUCUGUCAACAGUUGCUCUCGCUACAAUCCACUUCAGUCUGCGCGCAGAACUCUGGAAAGCAUAGGAAUUUCACCACGAUUGAAAAACAGCAAACAGUUCUCUGGAGAGCUGUUUAGCACCACCUCGACCAUGGAAACUUAAGAAUAAGUGGGCAAAUUCGAAGUGGCUCCAGGAUCCUCUCUUCCCAGUCACUCUCCGGUGGAGCUGGGCGCGAGUCUCCAGGCUUCCAGUAAGUAGCAGUUUUGCACGUGACUUUUCCUAGCCGCACGGCACAAAAAGAAAGUGUUGGGUGUCCACUGACGCCCUCAUCAACCGUUGUCCUUAUUUGGUCCUCGGUCUUCAGCUUUUUUCCCUCAUACCCCCAGGGCCUAACUCCCGUAGUGGGGGCUUACUGAGGGCUCAUUGAGGUCAACAUGGCGAACGUUAUCACCUGCCUCUCACCCGAACGCAUAUCACCGCCGCCUCCUACGCUGCUCCAGCAUUUUCUGUGUAAAACUCGCCGCAUCUGGGGUCGUUCGCUGAUUUCUUCACAUUUUCUCCAGAAAAUCCUGAAAAGUAAACUAAGAGUUCCACAUUC